AUCUAAAUCCUUGGACGAGGAUCCAUUGGAGGGCAAGUCUGGUGCCAGCAGCCGCGGUAAUUCCAGCUCCAAUAGCGUAUAUUAAAGUUGCUGCGGUUAAAAAGCUCGUAGUUGGAUCUUGGAUCCGGACCGGCGGCCCACCCAAGACGCACCCCCGCCAUCAUGGGACUGGGUCGAACCACCGCGUGGCUCAGCCUCGCCCGCGUUAGCUCGCGUUCCUUCGCGCGUGGCGGAAAGACGAACGUCUCUUUCGCUCGCGCGCGGAGUUCUUACGCGGCGCUGCGCGGAGCGUGGGCCAGAGAGCGCGGCCGAGUUUCGUACCCACGUCUCGGCGGGUUAGUGCGUCCGGUUGGAUCACCGAUCGGCUCCGGAUUGCAAAGACCGUCGGCGCACAUGGGGUGCUCUUCGCCGAGUGUCCCGCGUGGCCGACAAAUUCACUUUGAAAAAAUUAGAGUGCUCAGAGCAGGCCUAAACCAAACGCCUGAAUGGUGUUGCAUGGAAUGAUGGAACAGGACCUCGGUUCCGGCCCUUUCGUCGGUUUUCGGAACCAGAGGUAAUGAUUAAAGGGAACAGACGGGGGCAUUCGUAUUGCGACGCUAGAGGUGAAAUUCUUGGACCGUCGCACGACGAACUACUGCGAAAGCAUUUGCCAAGGAUGUUUUCGUUAAUCAAGAACGAAAGUUAGAGGAUCGAAGGCGAUCAGAUACCGCCCUAGUUCUAACCGUAAACUAUGCUAACCGGCUAUCCGCCGAAGUCAUUCCCACGACUCGGCGGGUAUCCUCCGGGAAACCAGAGUCUCUGAGUUCCGGGGGAAGUAUGGUUGCAAAGCUGAAACUUAAAGGAAUUGACGGAAGGGCACCACCAGGAGUGGAGCCUGCGGCUUAAUUUGACUCAACACGGGGAAACUCACCAGGCCCAGACACCGGAAGGAUUGACAGAUUGAGAGCUCUUUCUCGAUUCGGUGGGUGGUGGUGCAUGGCCGUUCUUAGUUGGUGGAGCGAUCUGUCUGGUUAAUUCCGAUAACGAACGAGACUCUACCCUGCUAACUAGUCGGCAGAUCGUCUCCCGAGGUCGUCGGGUUCUUUCGCCGUAGCUCGGGCCCGGGUCGCCCCAGUGUGGGUUUUCCGUCGUGUCUCCGCUUUUCUUUCGCGGCGGGGUCUUCGGACUUUUGUCGAAGUUGGAAGGUGGAACCGGCGGGUCUGCACUGGGGUCCCGGUCGCUUCGGCGCNGUGGAUCCCNCGCGGUNNNUNNGGGCCGUCUGUCCAACUUCUUCUUAAAAAGGNAUCGGCGGCGGGCANGCCGNACNAAAAUCGAAGC
rnacentral:rRNA from 1 species